GCUUGACAUGCUCACAGAUACUAAAACUGGGACAAUCCAGAAAAGAUCAGCACAGCCCCUACUCCAGGAUGAUGUGCAAAUUCAUGAACUGUUACAUACUAAA